ensembl:antisense 2310044K18Rik RIKEN cDNA 2310044K18 gene
AAGAAUUUCCUUCCCCAUCCACCUCACUGAAGCUUGUCAAUGGGCAGUUUGACAAAUCUCCUGCUUUCUUCUAGGGGAUUUCCAGAGGCCUUACUUCACCCCUAGCAGCCUUCACUGCACGCCUCAGCAACACAAACUUAACUAUUGGGGUGACUACUUGUGGUUAGCAGAGCAUCUCAGAUUCCUGGACUCAGCCUCCCCACCACAAAGUAACCCUGCUGCUGAUACACCAGCGCGUGAGCCAUGUGACCCGCGAGUGUUACUGCCAACAGUUGGCAGGCCCGGAACUUCCGGUUUGGUUCUGCGAAGCUUCAUAUGUCUCUGCACAGUGAGCUUAAAGAGAGUGCUUCUCUAUGCCAGAGUACAGGAAGCCUGCAGACAUUUCUAAUGCUCAAGGGCAGCAGCUUUGCAUGUUGCAGGGGACACACGUCCCACUGAGCACACCCUCCUACCUGGCUGCAGGUGGGCAAGGUGUGCCCAGAAGGGUCUGUGACCUUCUCUUUCUCCUCCAGUUUCUUCUGAGGCUCGCUGUCAUUUUUAAAGUAUUUUCUGGGUGGAGGCUUGGGUUUGGAGGAUGUCGGCUUUCUCACCAAAAUCUCAAAAGAUUUCUUCAGUCUC